rnacentral:rRNA from 1 species
CAAUAGCGUAUAUUAAAGUUGUUGCAGUUAAAACGCUCGUAGUUGAACAUCUGCCCUUUUCCGGUUAGGUCCGCUCUGCGUGCACCUUCCGAAAUCGGCAUCCGUCUGCGUUGCUUCGCAUUGCAGACCGUUCACUUUGAGGAAAUUAGAGUGUUCAAAGCAGGCUUACGCCUUGAAUACUUCAGCAUGGAACGAUUGAUAGGACUUCUAUCCUAUCUUGGUUCUAGGGACAGAAGUAAUGGUAAACAGGGUUGGUUGGGGGCAUUCGUACUGAACAGUCAGAGGUGAAAUUCUUAGAUUUGUUCAAGACGAACAACUGCGAAAGCAUUUGCCAAGGACGACCCCAUUAA